ensembl:lncRNA
AUGGUACUUACUGGUCUUAUACAUUUUAUUUUUAUUUGUGUAUUAAGUAGUUGUAUAAUCACUUUUCUUUCCAGUGAGAUGUUGCUAUGGCUGCUCUUUGUUGGAUUUCUUCAAGCAAGUGUUGCAUCUUCCUUUCGUGGCUUUUGGGACGGAUUUGAUGCAAGUAAUCUUCAGCAUGUUUCAGGCGACCAGUCUCAGCCUCACGUGGCGUUUUACCCUCCCAGGUCCAACUCUUGGCCUUGGCCCCAGGUCCAAGGCUCCCAACGCUCUCCCCAGGCGACCUCUGGGCAUUUCCAUCCGCAGGCGCCUUGCUUUCAGUCCAAACCCCAGCGGCCUAACUACUGGCCCUUCCCCGUUCCCCAGGAGCCCGUCCCCGUGUUCCAGUCCAGUGAGCCUGGUGACCUUCCCCAGGUUCCUGGCUACUCACCCAGCAACCAGCCCACGCCUGCUCCUCAACCCCAGCAGCCCGACCAACAGCCCCAAGCUGCUGGUGUUCAGGCUCUGCCACCCAACAACGCCCCCCCCCGCAGACUGCCCGAAAGCUGGUACCAGAAACGCCCCCAGUAUCUGGCAUCACGCUUCCCAUCGAAGCCUCUGCCUCCUCCCAGGCCCCAGGGGCCCAAUCCUCUGCCACAGCGGCCAAGCACAGUGCUUCAUCCCUGGUCCCAGCAGCAGCCUGGUAACUGGCCCCAGCCGGCCCCUACCACCCUGCCCCCCACCCUGCCCCCCACGCGGCCCUCAAACCCGGCCCAAGCUCUGCGUCCUCUGCCUCAGUCACACAGCAAACUGUUCCAUCCGUGGCACCAGCAAAGGCAUCAGUUACUCAAUAACCCGUUCAAGCCGCAGCCCCCUGCCCCCCAGCAACCAACCCCCCAGCCACCGUCUGCCCCAACCCCCCAGUCGACCCCUGCCACUCAGGAACCUGGCCCGUCCAACAACCUUCCUCAGGCCCAGCCACCAGAUAACCUGCCCCAUCCGUGGUACCAGUCUCCCAUUUACCUCCUAAAUCCUCAUCACUAUCCCUGGUUUCUUCCUCAUCCUGCCCCAUCUACCCCCCAGUCUUCACCUGCCCCUCCCAGCAACCCGCCCCAGGCACCUCUGCCACCCUCUACCACCCAGCAACCCGCCUCGUCCACCCAACUGCCCCAGGAAUCUGGGCCUGUAGCUCAGCUGCCAUCUGACACUCCGCAGCCUUCCCCACCCAGCAACUUGCUCCACGUUCCUGACCAGCCGCUUCCUCCAUGGUACCAGCAUCAGUCCCCCAGUCUGGUCCAGCCUCACUGGCCCCUGAUACCCGGCUACCUGCCUGAGCCGGUCAGCUACCAGCCCCAGUAUUGGCCUUAUGGUCCCAGCAACCUGCCCCCUGCCUGGUCCUGGUUUCCCAUGUACCCGCCCUGGACCAGUUUUACACAAAGCUGCAAACCUCCUCUGCUCUGCUAUGAGCUCAGCAGUGACAGUGCUUUUUAUCCAUACUUGCUUCCAGACAGGGAAACUGGCAGCGUUGAGCCGUGAUCAGGGACAUCAGGACUGUGCAAGACCUCAACUGAUCAGCUGGACUGACGUUGAAAAUAAAGUGUUUUCCCUCGAUGUGUAGUUUGAGUUU